rnacentral:rRNA from 1 species
UACGAAGGGGGCUAGCGUUGUUCGGAAUUACUGGGCGUAAAGGGCGCGUAGGCGGUUCGUUUAGUCAGGCGUGAAAGCCCCAGGCUCAACCUGGGAAUUGCGCUUGAUACUGGCGAGCUAGAGUCCGGGAGAGGAUGGCGGAAUUCCCAGUGUAGAGGUGAAAUUCGUAGAUAUUGGGAAGAACACCGGUGGCGAAGGCGGCCAUCUGGACCGGUACUGACGCUGAGGCGCGAAAGCGUGGGGAGCAAACAGG